AGCUCAUCCAGAGGGGCAGAGGGAACGGCCCGUUGAAGCCCCGGCAACCCUUCCGCCGGUCUCGUGACGAUGCGAGGCUCCCGGUGGGGAAGGUGCCAAUUCCGUCCUGUGGCGAAAUCCGUCACGGGGAAGAUGAGGG
rnacentral:ncRNA from 1 species